UACGUAGGGGGCUAGCGUUGUCCGGAAUCAUUGGGCGUAAAGAGCGUGUAGGCGGCCCGGUAAGUCCGCUGUAAAAGUCCAGGGCUCAACCCUGGAAUGCCGGUGGAUACUGUCGGGCUAGAGUCCGGAAGGGGCGAGUGGAAUUCCUGGUGUAGCGGUGAAAUGCGCAGAUAUCAGGAGGAACACCAAUGGCGAAGGCAGCUCGCUGGGACGUGACUGACGCUGAGACGCGAAAGCGUGGGGAGCAAACAGG
rnacentral:rRNA from 1 species